UACGUAGGGGGCAAGCGUUGUCCGGAAUUAUUGGGCGUAAAGAGCUCGUAGGCGGUUCAGUAAGUCGGGUGUGAAACCCCCAGGCUCAACCUGGGGACGCCACCCGAUACUGCUGUGACUAGAGUCCAGUAGGGGAGUGUGGAAUUCCCGGUGUGAGCGGUGAAAUGCGCAGAUAUCGGGAGGAACACCAGCGGCGAAGGCGGCACUCUGGGCUGGAACUGACGCUGAGGAGCGAAAGCGUGGGUAGCAAACAGG
rnacentral:rRNA from 1 species